UACGAAGGGGGCUAGCGUUGUUCGGAAUUACUGGGCGUAAAGCGCACGUAGGCGGACUUUUAAGUCAGGGUGAAAUCCCGGGGCUCAACCUCGGAACUGCCUUUGAUACUGGAAGUCUUGAGUAUGGAAGAGGUAAGUGGAAUUGCGAGUGUAGAGGUGAAAUUCGUAGAUAUUCGCAGGAACACCAGUGGCGAAGGCGGCUUACUGGUCCAUUACUGACGCUGAGGUGCGAAAGCGUGGGGAGCAAACAGGG
rnacentral:rRNA from 1 species